GAGGGCUCCCCCUAAAGCAGAGAAAUUGGUGGAUUUUCACAAAGAUAUUGUGAAAAAGGCUGCUGCUAAGUACCCUGAACAUCCACUGAUUUUGGUUGGGAAAUCCAUGGGCUCUAGAGUUAGCUGCAUGGUAGCUGCUGAGGUUGACAUUGCAGCAUCAGCAGUAAUUUGCUUGGGAUACCCACUUAAGGCCAUGAAUGGAGCUGUGAGGGAUGAGACAUUGUUGCAACUUGAAGUACCUAUAUUGUUUGUGCAGGGUAGCAAAGAUGGGCUUUGUCCUCUUGACAAGUUGGAGGCUGUUUGCAAGAAGAUGAAAUCGAUCAAUGAGUUGCAUGUGAUUGAUGGUGGUGAUCAUUCUUUCAAAAUUGCUAAAAAGCAUCUUCAAACGAAGGGGUUAAGCCAAGAUGAAGCUGAAGAUCUUGCCGUUCAGGCUGUUGUAUCAUUUGUCUCCAGGUGUCUCAGAGGAAAAUGAUAAUUUAAUUUAGUUCCAGUUCUCUCAUAUCAGAAUGGACAAACUAUUUUGUAUGGUUUUGUAAUUUCAUUAGGUUUAGCACAGGUGUGACAUUCACUUCAGCAUUGACAUUAUUGUUGGAUUGUCUGCCGACUUCUGCCUUGUAAAGUUGCUCUUUAUUCUUAUGCCUAGGAAGUGAAAUUAGUAGUGGGUAGGGCUGUUUUUGAUAUGAUUACUUCACAAAUAUUGCUUCAUCUAAGUUCACAAAUAGUUGUUGUCUUGG
rnacentral:misc_RNA from 1 species